CAAAUCUGUUCUGCCAGACCCUCCCCUGCAGCACGUCCCUCUUCAGAGGUGGCUCCUUGUCCUCUCCCCUGCCCCUGUCCCACCAGCCCCUCUCACAGGGGACAUCCCAGAUUCUGCAUAGGACAGGGACCUUCUCUGCACGCAUCUGAGCCCUCCCUCAGAACAGUUUCUAGCAUCAACAGGCUCCGAGGUCCUUAAAAUCAGGUUACUCACCAGCCAGGCGAAGGGUCGGCUUCUCCUUGAGAGUUAGAGAUGUCAUGGUAUUAAUCCAGGGAAACCUGGAUCUCUCAGAUCUUUGGGCAAAGUCCAGCCGACAGUGUUUGAACAAGACCCAUGGGGCCACAGGAGUAGAAAUUAAAGCCAGACACAAGAGGCCACUUUGCAUAGCUAUCUCUGGCACUGACCUCAGGAUGGAGCAGCUCUUCUGUGCCGGGACCUACGAUCCGAACUGCAACCUCCCUGGUGGAGCUGGCUGCAAGCUGACAACUUUAUUCCACCAGAAGGCCAGGUGGCUUCAAGGGGAGCUCAGCUAAGCAAGAAGGAGGUAUGAAGGGCAGGAUGAAGGCUGCUCCUGUCAAUCCACUGGUGUUUCUCCAGGUCGUAUCGUCCUGCUCUACCACUCCUACCCGUUCCACUAUAAACCACUCAGAGGUGGCUCCUGUCAGGCACAGACAAGGGAAGAGAGACCUCUAACAUUUAUGGACAAGUUUACAGAUGCGACUGUUUAUUCACUGUCCUUACCAUCUAGCAACCUCCUACUAAAUCAAGCUAAUGCUGCCAACUUCAUUUUGCAUCUAGCAUCCGACAGGAGGGCCAUGGGCUGUACCAGAGAGGACAGCACCAGCAGGCAGAAGGGACCUUGUUCCCAGGAGAGGCUAAGGGAACUGGGCUGAAUCUUGUGAUCAGGUAUGUUGCCAAAGUGCAGAAAAAACAUAGCUGGUUUUGUCCCCACCAUCCAAACUCUGGGAACUACUUCUCCAUCCUGAAAUACCCAGCCAGCUCUGCACAAACCAGUUCAGAUCGGGAAGGAUCUAGUCACAGUAAGACGGGCACAAAGUUGCCUGAACUUACCACUCCUGCUCAGAUCUAGCUGCCCUAUCAGCCCAGCGCUGCCCAGCCUUCCCUGGCUCCAGUUUCUGCUGGUCGCCCUGUGUUCCACUCCCAGGAAGGCUGCACGUUUGCAGGAAGGAUUGGUGCAGAGAAGCAUGGUUGCAAAACAAGGGAAACGCAGCUGGGAGGAGCAGACCAGGGGAGGAGAUGCGAAGGCUGUAAUUAAGCAUCUGCACAACAGCGAUGGGCAGUGGAGUAACAAAUAUGUUUCCAGCUUUGGUCAUAGGAGCUGGCGCAAGAGCCACAGCGAUCCUCUCUUGCAAAAGGGCCAGGUGGGUAAGUAGGGGAGAUGGAUCCCCUGGGGUCUGACAACCAUGCUGCAUUACACACAAACAUCACAGCCACCAGUGCUGGGAGCCGAGGUUUACCCACGGGGUCUGAGCAGCUAGAACUGAGCAACCGCGUCUGACGGCGAACAGAAGAGGAGGGACCCGCCCUGUUCUCUCCGCCUGGUGCUGCAGAGCAGCGUGGUCUCCAGCAGGAGAGGAGAAGAGGAGGACACCUCUCUGCUCAGGCCCUCAGGGGUUUCCUCUCUUUGCCAAAUGCUCCAAGCCCAUGAUUACAGCCCUGCCAUGCUCAGUUCCUCCUGCCGGCACAGGCACGGCAGGAGCUGCACAGGUGUCCCAGUUCAGCCCAGGGAUGGCAAGGUCAUACCCCACCACCCAACGGUCCUUCACUUCAUUCCUCUCUGAACAAAGCUCCUCUGUGGACCAGCACUAACUGUUCCUUGCACUAACCUCCUUUGCCUGCAGCCCAUCUCCUCCGAUGUGGCUGCUGCCUGCUGUUGAGGUGCAGUGUCGCAGCUGCAACCCGUGCUCAGCCGCAGGUGCUAGGGGCAGCACUACACCGUGCCUCACCCGGAGCUGCUCCCGGGUGCCCACGCUCACCUGCCAUCUUCCUGCUGUGCUCACUCAGUCCCCAGUUCUCACCCGUUAGCUGUACACCUCUCCCCCGCCCAUUGGCACAUGUGUGCCUGUGUCACCCGCUGCGUCCCCUCACCACCCGGGCGAGCGGGACCUCCCAGGCCUGCUGAAAGCAGGAGGCAUCGGCACGCGGGGCAGCUGCCUUCAGCGCUGAGCGGCAGCUUCGCGGCCACGCUGGGCUCUGGGACUGAGGCUCUGUCUCACUACAACACGAGAGGCUUGUGGCUACUGAGGCAGGUUAAGCAUACGCUUAAGUGUUUGAUUAAAUCGGCACUUUAACCAUUUCUAAUCCCCAACAAGGCUUGUCCCAGAGCUAUUUUCUCUCUGCAAGCAGAGAGCACAAGCCAGCCGCGCAGCUCUCGGACCGGGCUCCCCAGGUAGCAGAUUUUCCAAGGGUUUUCCUCGGCCAGGUUCCUCUGUUCGCUAGUGAGAAAAGGCAGCUCUGCCUCCCGCCAGCCCUGCACCUCCUGGGACACCCGGGGACCACGCUGCAAAGCCCUCCGCUGCCUUAUCCGCUGGGCCACUGGCGCUGCCAGCCACGGUGGCCCUCUGGGGCACCGCCAGCGGGAGCUUGGCAGCCACAUCUACAGCACUGUGGGAGGAAGGGAUUUGAGCCCGUUCCUGCUGACGGCUCUCGGCUCUCCGGGACUAAUGGGACUAAAGACAGUAAGGGCUUAGACUAGUCAUUAGAGGCAGUAGAUCUGAGACUAAAUAUAUUCAGCAAGCAGAUUGGCUGGAAGAAGACACUGCUUCUUCUGUCACUUUCCUUCACUUGUUUGAUUUUGCACUGGAUUUUUCAGACAGACAUCCUGCCAGCUGUUAGCACGCUCUCUUGCUUUGGGAUGGUAAAUCAUGCAAGAUGCCCUUCAGCCAGAAUAUCAAGGGCAACAAGAUAGUAUCAAGCCCAAAUCCCCCUUACAGAGGGUGCUAAACCCUUAAGGCUAGAUUCUCAAGGGGAUUUACAUGUCUACAUGCUAUGAAUUAGCAUCCCAAGGGAAUCAGGUGCUUCAAUGAUUUUGUGGGGCUGGUUCUUCCCAGCUACUGACAGCCUGCUCUGCAGAGCAACUGCUGGGAUCGCGUCCCGAAACGCUGGCCCCCCGUUGGCAGGGACCGGCCUGGCUGACAGCAGCGCUUGCAGCAGCAGGGCAGCGCUAGCUGCUGGGGCACUUCUUUACUCACCCCCAGCAUUGCCCUUCCUUUGAGCAGGCAGAGCAGAAAGCUCAAAGUAGGAAACAUCAUUACUGGGGACUGGUAAACAGGCAGGAGGACCGCAGCUGCAGAGUGCAGAAACAGCGCACAAGCAAAAACCCAGGGCUGUAAUGCAGGUACGAAACAAGCCCACAUUUCUGGACUAGCAAUUUUCAAAUUGUUGUCCGCAGGAUCUGCGCCUAACUGGAAAGUGUU